CCUUCUCAAAGCUGAGUCACCUCACAGGAUAUGGAGAGAUGGAUCUGCCUCCUCUGGCUAGAUGCAUUUGGAGGUAAACUGGCUUCACAAAAGCCUCACCUUUCUUUGGCUUUGACAAGGCUGGCAACAGGUAGACGUAAAGAAUGGAAAUGAAGGUUACUUCUUGUUGAUGCUUAUGCUUAUGGAUUAUUAUGACUAAUGAUGCCUAAACAAUGUUGUAUUCCUCUUCUUUUCCCUUUUUUUUACUCUCAUUGUUAGAUGCUGAUGAAGUUAUCAUGAACUAUUCAGCAAAGCCAAGGCUUGAGGAAGGAAGCCAACACGUCACUGUAUCCAUGCACAAGAAGACAAUGAUGAUCUGUGCCCACGAGUGGCAAGAGUCAAUGAUUGAUUGGAGAAGCCGAAUGAGAACCUAUCCUUUUCAGGUCCAGUCCAACUGAAAGCUCCACAGGUAUGGAACCAUCACAGCUUGACUUUAUGUGAAUCUCAGCUGCUGGGCAUGGGCUUGGUAUCAAAUUUCUUCCUAGUAAUAGGAAGUCAUAUGAAUCAUUCAAACCAUGACAGCUAAUCUAUGUGAUUGCUUGCAUGUUGCAACAAUUCUUUAUACAUUUGACUUCCACCUGAGCAUGGCAUCCACAAUCUUCUCAGUUAAAGUAAUUAAAAUCUCAAAAGUCAGCAUUGAUCGCAGCAUUGAAGCUUUCAGCUCCCCCCCCUCCCUGUCCUUGUUUGCUCUACAAUCAUUGAUCGAGUUUGGAGCUCAGCAAGAAGAGCACAUGGGUUUCAUUGAAGUGGUGUCCCAAUUAGCUAAGCCUGCUUUGGAUGUACAUGGACAAUGCUUCCACGUGCACAUGCAGUGGUCACUGGCACAUCUUGGAACAGGGAGUAGGUAUCCAAAUCAUCUUCUCCAUCAUUAAUCCAGUGUGAGCAGGGAAGCAGGUGGUCAUCUGCAGAUGAAGUCCAGGAUGAAGGCCACUACAAUAACUCUUACUGGAAGACAAUCAAUCAUGUAUAUAACUGACAAAAUGCUUUAAAGAAGGGGACAUGAAAUUUUGCAAGGACAUCCAUGAGGUACAAUCAUGUAGCAUACUUGAUUUGUACACAUGUACAUGCCAAGAUCAUGCCCAAUUCUAUUCUCUCUUUCUCAGAGAAAAAAAAAAAAGUUCAAAUCAUCUGCAGAACUCUAGUAACAUUUUGAGGAUGGUGGUAGUCAAGGCUUUUAAUGACUUGAUGUUGCAUAUGCAGACUGGUCAUGUACUGCAACACAUCCAGAUUAGUGAAUUCCAUGAAGAAUAAAAUAACCAGUGGAUGUCCCAAUGCUCAAUCUAUGUAGCAUGCAUGCCA